rnacentral:rRNA from 1 species
UACGGGGGGGGCAAGCGUUGUUCGGAAUUACUGGGCGUAAAGGGCUCGUAGGUGGCCAACUAAGUCGGACGUGAAAUCCCUCAGCUUAACUGGGGAACUGCGUCCGAUACUGGAUGGCUCGAGUUUGGGAGAGGGAUGCGGAAUUCCAGGUGUAGCGGUGAAAUGCGUAGAUAUCAGGAGGAACACCGAUGGCGAAGGCAGGUCUCUGGGCCGAUACUGACGCUGAGGAGCGAAAGCGUGGGGAGCGAACAGG